CAGAGCAUAACUUAAAAAAGUAGUUCGCUUACAUCGAAUCGAUGUCUGUUAACCCAGACUGUUCUGAG
rnacentral:tRNA from 1 species